ACGCACGCUGGCGGCGUGCCUAAUACAUGCAAGUAGAACGCUGAAGGAGGAGCUUGCUUCUCUGGAUGAGUUGCGAACGGGUGAGUAACGCGUAGGUAACCUGCCUGGUAGCGGGGGAUAACUAUUGGAAACGAUAGCUAAUACCGCAUAAGAGUAGAUGUUGCAUGACAUUUGCUUAAAAGGUGCAAUUGCAUCACUACCAGAUGGACCUGCGUUGUAUUAGCUAGUUGGUGGGGUAACGGCUCACCAAGGCGACGAUACAUAGCCGACCUGAGAGGGUGAGCGGCCACACUGGGACUGAGACACGGCCCAGACUCCUACGGGAGGCAGCAGUAGGGAAUCUUCGGCAAUGGACGGAAGUCUGACCGAGCAACGCCGCGUGAGUGAAGAAGGUUUUCGGAUCGUAAAGCUCUGUUGUAAGAGAAGAACGAGUGUGAGAGUGGAAAGUUCACACUGUGACGGUAUCUUACCAGAAAGGGACGGCUAACUACGUG
rnacentral:rRNA from 1 species